GGCUGGACGGUACAUGGCGCCGGCUGGAGGGCCGGCUGGACGGUACAUGGCGCCGGCUGGAUGGCCGGCUGGACGGUACAUGGCGCCGGCUGGAUGGCCGGCUGGACGGUACAUGGCGCCGGCUGGAUGGCCGGCUGGACAACAUGGCGCCGGCUGGAAGGCCGGCUGGACAGGACAUGGUGCCAGCUCGACGGCCGGCUCGACUGGACAAGGGCGCCGGCUGGGAAACCGGCUAUCAUUGACUGGGCAGGCCUGGAUGUCGACACGAUAGGACGUCGGCGGCUGGGCAGCGCUCUCUGGCAGCUGGGCAGCAUCUCCGACGGCUGGGCAGCGCUCUCUGGCAGCUGGGCAGCAAACAAGGACAAAACAACACACAAACAGAGUCGACUCGACAGGCCUGGGCACCAGCUGGGAGGCCGGCAGGGAUCUGCAGCGGGAACAGGACACCGGCGGCCUCAACCCUGGAGGGGAAUCCAACGACCUCAACCCUGGAAGGGAGCCCGGCAGUCUCGAUCCUGGAUGGGGUUCCGGCAGUCUCGACCCCGGAAGGGAGUCCGGCGGUCCCAACUCUGGACUGGAGCCCGGCGGCCUCUACCCUCCAAGGGAGUCCAGCGGAUUCAACCCUGGAAGGGAGUCCGGCAGCAUCGACCCCUCCCACUGAGAUCCCUCUGUCUGCUGGGUCCAAAAUGGUCGGAUCAUUCUGUCAUGAUUCUCAGGGUGAGACACGGAGACAAGGAGAGUGGACCCAAAUGCAGACAGCGGUUAAGGGGUUAACAUGACAUUUAAUAACAAAGACAAAAUACAAAACAAAGACCCACGUGGGGGUAAACAACAAAACAGAGGAACAAGAACAAGACUAACUAAACUGACAAGACUAAACUAAUAACACAUCACAUAGGGACACAAUAAACUAGACUAACUAACUAACUAACAUGACCAUAACUCACCCACACGACACAGUGCAACAUAACAGUACAGUGAUCCGACACCAGACAGAGAACACAGGGGCAUUAAAUAGAGGGACAAAUCAAAGGGGAACAGGUGAGGGGCAUGAACUAAUAAACAACCAAUAACGAGAGAUACAAAAGGGCGGGAACACAGACAAGGACCGGAGAGUAUCGAAGGCCGACAGGGUCAAAAUGACUCUCUCCACACAUAACAAGGGAUCCUGCCGUGAUUCUACCACAAGAUCAAGAAAGACAUGACACGACAAGGCAGAAUCACGACAGUUCAACUGGUAUUUGUAACCACGCGGCCAGCGUUUUUUUUUUACUAAAAAAGCCCCUUUGUCAACUUUUUCUUUAAAAAAAGAAGUUAAGUGUGAACACGGGCUUAUGCUGUAUUUUCUCACUAACUUUACUCGGCCCUUGGCCUUGAUCACUUGGGACGCGAGCGAACACCUGGCGCAAAGGCACGACAACUCUUGCCUCAACUUUACCAUGAGGCGAGGGCUCGCUUCAGUUACCUUGCCUCAGUAGCUAACAUUUACAUGGACACGUUGAAGUAAAAUCAUUCAGCUAAACAUUAACGCAAUGAAAUGUCUACAGUCAACUUUACAUCGAUAAAGCACAGUCGUUUUGCGCAACGAUUUACCAUUGUGGACAGGGACCGUGGGAGGGAUUCGAUUGCGUCGCGAUGCGGGCGUGGGUGAUUCUGAACUGGUUACUUUUUGUACAUUUUGUGAAUGGUUUGACUUUGUACAAGAAACUGAUUCUUGCUGUUACAACAUGCUGAUCACUCUUUCCUUUUUUCAGAAAUUGAGGUUGAUGUUCACAGAGACCAUGAUUUUAUACUUAUUUGAAGGCUCCUUUAAAAAAACAGGCCAAGUUUAACAGAUUUGUGCGCGAGAUGAAGGAGGUGGUUACAAUAACACUAGAACCAAUGCCAGCAGAAACUAUCAACUCACUUAAACUACACAAAUUGCAGAAAUGCAACAAGUGGUGGACUGCCUGCUGGAUUUGCCAAUCCACCCUUUACUAAAUCCGAGGCUUGAUAAGAUAGAACCAUGCCAAAAAUCCUCCAAGGACAGACACAAAAUCAUUACAGUUCUCCAUGAAGCCAUGGUAGAAGAACACCCACUGCAACAUUACCACUUCAAAUGCAAGUAAAAACUUUUCUAAGGAGCCUGUUGGUUUUGAUUUGAACGUUUGACGGUGAGCUAAAAGCCCUUUGUGCCCGAAGAUACCAACAAAAAACUAAGAAAUUUACACAGAUUUGGAACAACUCGAAGCACACUUGGCACCAGUCCUUCAAACGCAAAUUUAAAGCUGAGCGUGCACCUCUGGUCCAUGAUGAUGAGGUAAAAAAGAGCAAGGAGAAGUUUGGGCACAAAACACAGAUACCCUCUGAACAGUCAGCAGCUUGUCACAGAUCCAAUUCAGAGCAGGAGAUUUCUUGGUGAGGAUGCAUCCUCUAUUGAGGGUCAUGUCAAUAUCCUGCAAGUCCAGUAUAGCAAGAUGCGACCAGACACCUUGGUGGUCAAAGACCGAAUGCAUGGCGAAGAAGGGAGAUAAGAGAUGGAAUGACUGUGGAGGAUAUAUUAAAGAAAUACCCUUUCCUCAAAACACCCUCAGGGUUGUGUGAUGAAGUUGACCGAAUGGAUGCAUCAACAGUCAUCUUAAGCCAGCGCUUCAGGGAGGCCUUUAUUGUGCCAAAGUUGCUUGAGCUUGUUCAAAGGAAGGGCAAGCCCCUUCCAAUAACUAUCACCUAAAUGAUAAAUAUCCUGUGCUGAACAUACCACAACUUUAUUGAUGCACAAGGUGCAGAAGAAAAACUUUCACCUGAAGGACUGGAUAGCUGUAAGUCAUAUUUUACAUUGUCUUUCAAACGCCAUGUCUGUCGUUAACAGGAAAGUUGUUGUUCCUCCUGAUGUUAUCGAUGUUACUGAACACAUUUGAGGAUGUAUUCAUAGUUGACUAUCCAUGCAAAGGAAAAUUCCUUUGUUUAAAGUAUUGAAAUGUCAAUACUGUAUGGCUUUUGUGUGGCAAUUUUUUAUAUCAGUUAUGUAUGAUUCACACUUUCACACACACACAAAGUUGACCCUGAAUAAGUGUUUUAUAAAACCAGGGCAAGAGAUGGGCUUUCAGGCCCUUGACACUUAAUCUGCUGAUAAGUUUGUAAUACUCAAGAAGUUCAAAUUAAUUGUGCAGUACUUUGUUGGGUGAAAUGUGUGGUUAUGAUACAUGUUUUAAGGCUAUAAAGUUAAUGAAAUGUUUAAUGUUGUUGAAAAGCAUUUUUGAUGUUUAAAAGUGUUUUAAGAGUAGAAAAAGAUAUCUUUUGAAAAAGUGCUAUUACUUAGUAAUUCAGAAAGGGAUUGUUUUAAUGUAAUGUUUUAUUACAUGGUACAAAAUUGAAUGCGCUGAUUUAAAAAAAAAAACAGGCUCAAUAUUUGUUGAUUCUUGCUGUUUAAAAAAACAUAAGUGUAUGAAAUGUUAACUGUUUUUCACAUUUCUCAGUAUGCAUCCUGUGA